CGAGGCACCAAGCGUGUGUGUGUGUGUGUGUGUGUGUGUGUGAGCGCGCGCGCGCGCACGUGCGCGCGCACACGCUCACAGCGCAG
rnacentral:miRNA from 14 species